UCGCUGUGAUGAAAGAUGCCAAAAAAUCAUUCGUAGUUUCCACCAGAAGUCUUGAGACUAAUGUUGGUUAAACACCUUCCUUGGAUGUCUGAGCGA